GGGGAUUUAGCUCAGUGGUAGAGUGCUUGCCUAGCAAGCGCAAGGACCUGGGUUCGGUCCCCAGCUCCCA
rfam:Rattus norvegicus chromosome 10, whole genome shotgun sequence.